rnacentral:rRNA from 1 species
AUUGAACGCUGGCGGCAUGCUUUACACAUGCAAGUCGAACGGCAGCGCGGGCUUCGGCCUGGCGGCGAGUGGCGAACGGGUGAGUAAUGCAUCGGAACGUGCCCAGUAGUGGGGGAUAGCCCGGCGAAAGCCGGAUUAAUACCGCAUACGACCUGAGGGUGAAAGCGGGGGACCGAACGGCCUCGCGCUAUUGGAGCGGCCGAUGUCGGAUUAGCUAGUUGGUGGGGUAAAGGCUUACCAAGGCGACGAUCCGUAGCUGGUCUGAGAGGACGACCAGCCACACUGGGACUGAGACACGGCCCAGACUACUACGGGAGGCAGCAGUGGGGAAUUUUGGACAAUGGGGGCAACCCUGAUCCAGCCAUGCCGCGUGCGGGAAGAAGGCCUUCGGGUUGUAAACCGCUUUUGUUCGGGAAGAAAGCCUCUGGGCUAAUACCCCGGGGGGAUGACGGUACCGGAAGAAUAAGCACCGGCUAACUACGUG